UAUGGGGCCAAGAUCUGGGACAGUUGGGGACACUGCAGCUGGUGCAUCAGCAGCUGGCUGGAGGCCGCCUGCUCCGGGUUUGGGACAGCCUCUCCCAUUCUCUGGUGUUGCUUCUUACGGAAAUGGCUUUUCCCAGCUGUGUUUGUGGACUGCCCCCGGAGCCUCCCGGACCUGCCCUUCCUGCUAGCGAUUCAUUCACCUGCGGGAAACCUCGGAGGAGGCAGAGAUGACAACCCCUGUUUUACACACUGGGAAACUGAGGCAAAGCCACCUAUGGCAAGAGGCUCCUCCUCCAGAAAGCGGGGACAGAUGGGAACUAGGAAAGCCAGGGGUCUGGGGAGGUGCUGUGCCCUCAAAUCCACCCGCAGCUUUCGAACCUGAGCCGCUCUCCCUCCAACAGAAAGCAGCGAUUGGUUCCCGGUACCCCCCCACCCCCACCCCCGUCGGGAGGAACAACGCUCGAUGCCCAGCAAAGCUUGGUGCCGAUCGCCCCCUGCUGGAGAUGGCAGGACCUGCACGGAUCAGCCCGCCCAGGCCUCCCUGCCCCAAGACGUGGGUUCCGGGUUUCCUGUGCCAUUCUUAGUAGCUAGAGCGGUAGAUAUAAACAGCAAGAGCCCCAGACCUGAAGAACUCGGUCUGUGUUAGGGAACUGCCCGCCACACCCAGGAAUGAAGCGGUCGGAUGUUUGGUCGGCCAGGUACACAGGCCUGAGUUCCGAUGGGUGUAGAAAAGGGCAGGAGAGGGGUGUGUAAAAAGAUAGAAUAACGCAACAAUAGCAAACGCGUCAGCAAGCAUGCCCUGUGUCGGGAGCCCCUCUAGAUCUUGGGCAGCUACUAGCUCCUUUAAGUCUUGCAACUGUGUUGUCUCCAUUUUAUUGAUGGAGAGACUGGGGCAUGUCAAGUAACUUGCCCAAAGCACAGGGCUGCCACUCACCUCUCUAGAAAGCAAAACGGGACACAAGGAGGGGACUUUUUCAGUCCUGAGGUUGGGAUGCUUCUGCUCUUGCCCUCUUUUGGUGCUCAAAGCGACAACAUCCUCUCGGCCCCUCAUCUCACAAGAAUGGAAGCAUGACCUUCAAGACUAAUCCUGUUGCCUCACCGUGGCACAUACAGAAAAUGACCUUGUUAUUGCAGCCCGCAAUAGCUGCGGAACGGGGAGAGGUGUGUAGGCUUUAAUGUUGGGCUUUUUUGUUGUUGUAUAAUUCCAAGAGAAACAAAACAAUCACGUGUCCCAGAAGACUGACUUGGAAUACAAAUUCCAAAUACGA